CGGCGGACGGGUGAGUAACGCGUGGGUAACCUACCCCAAAGUCCGGGAUAACAGCGGGAAACCGCUGCUAAUACCGGAUGCCUUUACCUUGGGGCAUCUUGAGGUAAAGAAAGGUAACGCUUUGGGAUGGGCCCGCGUCCCAUUAGCUAGUUGGUGAGGUAACGGCUCACCAAGGCGACGAUGGGUAGCCGGCCUGAGAGGGUGGACGGCCACACUGGGACUGAGACACGGCCCAGACUCCUGCGGGAGGCAGCAGUAGGGAAUAUUGCGCAAUGGACGGAAGUCUGACGCAGCGACGCCGCGUGAGCGAUGAAGGUCUUCGGAUCGUAAAGCUCUGUCCUUGGGGAAGAAGGUCUUCGGACUUGACGGUACCCAAGAAGAAAGCCCCGGCUAACUACGUGCCAGCAGCCGCGGUAAUACGUAGGGGGCGAGCGUUGUCCGGAAUUACUGGGCGUAAA
rnacentral:rRNA from 1 species